UUGCCUUCCUUUGAAAGUUACUCAUAGCCAAAAAUGGCUAUUUUCAGAUGGUCAUAUAAGGAGAAAAUCAACUUUAUCUAAAUUCUGAUAUGUGGAUCUCAACAACACUCUCGCGAGAUUUGGCACGGCGCCCCAUGAAUCUGUCCAAUCAUAUUUGCUCUACCUGAAAAACACGCAUGCGCAUUUAGUGGGUGGAUGUGACUUGAACAAACAAUUCGGCACUGAAGGAAGAACAACUGCAAUAUUGGAGGGUCGAAAUGACAAAAUGAAAACCUGGAAAACGAUGGAGAAUAACUGGUAAAGAAGUCGACUCAAAUAAAUGAUCAAGAAGGACUGUAAAGUUGACUGAUGAGCAAUGGCUAAGGGAUAGCAGCAGAAUAACACUGCAGGAGGCGGUGCCUCCUGAAGGAGCCCAAAACACUGCUCUUCAAAUGGAACACAUCCAACCUUCAGGUGUCCAUGCAGGAUGUACCACUCUGGAAAAUCAAGCCUCUCCCUACCUGUCAGCACAUGAAAAUAUUUCUACUUCUGACUAUCAAAGACAAUGGAAAACCAUUUUCCAGAUCAGCCCUCACAGAUCCUCCUGAUGGCCUAACAACUAAACUAAAUGUUGAUGCUAAGUAUGAUUCAUCUCAAUCAUUUGAGGAAGCUCUCCCUGAUAUAGGGGAUUGGAUGUACAAUGACGGACAUACGUUUAAUGAAGGAUUUGAAGAUAGUUUGAGUGAGGAGUGUGCAGAAGAGUCAAAUUUCAAGGACACAACAGACAAACCAAUACACGACAAUGCAUCAGAAACCAUAGCAGAGUGCCUUCUGAUCAUCAUGGGUUAUGUAAACUGUCAUAAAGUCACUGAUAAGGCCCUAAGCGAUAUGCUCAAAAUGUUCAAGUUGCUUUAUCCCGAUAGUCUGAACACAGACUGCUUAAACAGUGAGCAGAAGUUCAAAAACUUUUUUUUAUCCCACUCUGCAUCAUCGCUUAUUAUAUUACAUAAAUCCUCCAGUACUUGUUUUGGGCCAAUAGAAAGUAAACAAAUAAAAUGCCUGUUUUGUGGGACCAGUGUGUCAGAAGAAAUAUUCUCAUCCUUUUUUUUUUAAAGUAUGUACAGAUUGAUUUCUUCUUUACCAUAGCACAUUCAUGUGCCAAAUGGGCCCUCGUUCGUGAAUUUAAACAUGCAGGUUUUUCUUUGCUGCAAGAUAGUGUAACAUAUGAGACAUGGAAUCAUGUUAUUCCCCUAUUGAAAACCUCUGCCAGUACAGUAGUAUCCUUGGAUGACAUAUUGGGUAAAGUUGUUUUCCUUGACUUCACAUCUAUGCCUGACAUUGUGUUUGCAGUUCAUUGGCCCAACACACUUGAAAAGUUUUAAAUAAUUAUGAACUGAACUGGCCUAAGAAGCCACAAAUCAAAUUUUUGAUCAUUGUUAUAAAUGCUCUGAAAAUACACACUGAUGUGAUCUUGCCGUGGAUGCUGUAAAAGUCUGUAAAUAUGUACUGUAUAUGGAGUAUCAUUGUUGAUUAUGUUUUUGCAUUGUGUGUAAUAUUUCA